GUUCUUGUGGCAGUGAAUUCCUGGACGGCACAGAGAACCCGUCACCAUGAGGGUGCCAUGGCAAAGAGCCACGGGGUUGGCAAAAGGGGCCUGCCAGUUCCAGGAGGAGAUGGAGAGAGCAUCCUUCCAUCUACUAGCCAGAUGGAUCUGAAAUGCGAUUAAAGCCACCUGCCUCACC